rnacentral:rRNA from 1 species
AAAAGCUAAUAAGGGCACACGGAGGAUGCCUAGGCAGCAACAGCCGAUGAAGGACGUGAUAAGCUGCGAUAAGCCGGGAGAAGAUGCACAUAAUCAUUGAUCCCCGGAUUUCCGAAUGGGUAAACCUGCAUGCCUGGAGGGCAUGCGUGAAAACGGUAAGCCUGCGAACUGAAACAUCUAAGUAGCAGGAGGAAAAGAAAGUAAAAACGAUUCCCCAAGUAGCGGCGAGCGAACAGGGAAAAGCCUAAACCGUGCCAGUGUCAAGCGGACAGCGUUGCUGGCACGGGGUUGCGGGACUUCCAUUAACGGAUUGUCAUAAUGUUUAAUCUGCAUAUGUGUAAGUGGAACCAGCUGGGAAGCUGGACCGAAGAAGGUGAAAGUCCUGUAGAACAUAAAGCGUAUGUGGAGACUGGAAGCACCCGAGUAGCGUCAGGCACGAGGAAUCUGGCGUGAAUCAGCGUGGACCAAAUCACGCAAGGCUAAAUACUGCUGUUGACCGAUAGUGAAGAGUACCGUGAGGGAAAGGUGAAAAGAACCCUGAGCAAGGGAGUGAAACAGAAUUUGAAACCGUGUGCUUACAAACGGUAGGAGCACUUUAUGUGUGACUGCGUGGAUUUUGGUUAAUCAUCCUGCGAGUUAUGGCUGGUGGCAAGGUUAAUAGACGGAGCCGAAGGGAAACCAAGUCUUAACAGGGCGACAAGUCGCCGGCCAUAGACGCGAAACCUAGUGAUCUAGGCCUGUCCAGGCUGAAGCUGAGGUAAGACUCAGUGGAGGGCCGAACUCACCGCCGUUGAAAAGUUGGGAGAUGAGAUAGGUCUAGGGGUGAAAAGCCAAUCGAACUAGGAGAUAGCUCGUUCUCUCCGAAAUGCAUUUAGGUGCAGCCUUGAACUGAGAUAUGUGGGGGUAGAGCUCUGUAUGAUCUAGGGGGCGUACUGCUUACCGAAAUCAAGCAAACUUCGAAUACCAUAUAUCAUGUUCAGGAGUGAGUCCGUGGAUGACAAGGUCCUCGGACGAGAGGGGAACAGCCCAGACCGCCAGCUAAGGUCCCUAAUUAUGUCUAAGUGGGAAAGGAGGUGGACAUUCAUAGACAACCAGGAGGUUGGCUUAGAAGCAGCCAUGCCUUGAAAGAGUGCGUAAUAGCUCACUGGUCGAGAGUGCCUGCGCCGAAGAUGUAACGGGGCUAAGACAUAAACCGAAGCUGCGGAAGAUACUACGUAUCUUGGUAGGAGAGCGUUCUGUAGGCCGUCGAAGGGAUGCCGCAAGGCCAUCCUGGAGGUAUCAGAAGCGAGAAUGCAGGAAUGAGUAGCGAGAAGGCGGGCGAGAAUCCCGCCGGCCGGAAGUCCAAGGUUUCCAGGGGAAGGCUUGUCCGCCCUGGGGAAGUCGGGACCUAAGCAUAAGCAAAAUUGUGACGGCGAAUGGAAAACAGGUUAAUAUUCCUGUACCGCUGUUAUCGCUUGAGAGACGGAGUGACGCAGGAAGGUAUGCGAGAAGGCUGACGGUUUAGCCUUUCUAAGGGCCCAGCGUGGGCGUGCAGGUAAAUCCGCACGCCUAAACGUGAGACCUGACGGGGAAGUGCAUUUGCAUAAGUCGCAGAUCCUACACUGCCAGGAAAAACUUCUAUCGAUGAGAAGCAGCGCCCGUACUGUAAACCGACACAGGUGGACAGAGUGAGAAACUUAAGGCCGACAGGAUAACUCUAGCUAAGGAACUCUGCAAAAUAGCCCCGUAACUUCGGGAGAAGGGGUGCCUGACAUACCUGAAGGAGAGAAGCGCUCCCAGGGGAAACAGGCCGCAGUGAAGAGUCUCAAGCAACUGUUUACCAAAAACACAGGUCUAUGCUAAGCUGAAAGGCGACGUAUAUGGGCUGACACCUGCCCAGUGCCGGAAGGUUAAGAGGAGGAGUGAGAGCUCCGAUUUGAAGCCCCGGUGAACGGCGGCCGUAACUAUAACGGUCCUAAGGUAGCGAAAUUCCUUGUCGGGU